rnacentral:rRNA from 1 species
UGAGGAUAAACCCCAUAGGCCUUGAUCUGCUGAAAUGCUUUCAGGCCGAAAAACUCCGGUGCCUUAGGAUUGGUCUGCGGUCUAUCAGGCUGUAGUGGGUGUAAUGGACCCACUAGCCCGUGACGGAUAUGGGCCUUAAGAGAGGGAGCCCAGGGAUGGACUCUGAGACAUGAGUCCAGGCCCUACGGGGCGCAGCAGUCGCGAAAACUUCGCAAUGGGGGCAACCCCGACGAGGGAAUUCCAAGUGCCAGCACUUUGUGUUGGCUGUUCUCCUGUCUAAAAAACAGGAGGAGUAAGGGGCGGGUAAGACGGGUGCCAGCCGCCGCGGUAAUACCCGCGCCCCUAGUGGUGGUCGAUAUUAUUGAGCCUAAAACGUCCGUAGCCGGUCUUCUAAAUCCUUGGGUAAAUCGGGCAGCUUAACUGUCCGAAGUUCCGGGGAGACUGGGAGACUUGGGACCGGGAGAGGUCAGAGGUACUUCUGGGGUAGGGGUAAAAUCCUGUAAUCCUGGAAGGACCACCGGUGGCGAAGGCGUCUUACCAGAACGGAUCCGACGGUGAGGGACGAAGCCCUGGGGCGCAAACGGGAUUAGAUACCCCGGUAGUCCAGGGUGUAAACGCUGCGGGCUUGGUGUUGGGGGUCCUUAGUGGGCGCCCAGUGCCGGAGAGAAGUUGUUAAGCCUGCUGCUUGGGGAGUAUGUCCGCAAGGAUGAAACUUAAAGGAAUUGGCGGGGGAGCACAA